GGCGCCCCCACUAACCAGGCGCACAGCCCGCGCCACCUACACGUCGCCCCUCCCUCGGCCUCUCCCUCAGUCCUUCCAGACCCGGCCUCAUCCCCUCCCCACCCUCGUUGGGUCGGGCCCCCUGCCGCCUCCCCCGCAACCCCUCCUGUUUGGGUCAGUGCUAAUCACAAAUCCGCCCACGCCGCUGUGUACUCUUUGGGGCCCCCACCCCAUUAUGCUCCUCCGGGUCCUGUCCCCUCCGUCACUCUCUCCUAGCCUCCCCCAGGCCCUCCCCACCCCAGCUGGGGCACAGAUGAGAGCCACCCAGGACCACCCUGCCAGGCUUUGGGGAGGGGGUGGUCCUGACACCAUGCUGGUCUUGGACAUUAAGAGCGUAGGGUAGGAGGAAUGGCAGAGCCGGAAGGCCAGCUCUGUCUCAGGAGAGGAUGUCUGGUGGCUCAGGGUCGCCAGCUCCUCUCUCUGUUAUCUCCCACUCAACCCUGUCCUGCCCAAGCCAUUUGGAAGCAUCCUUUGAAAAAACAGAACCCUAAAAAGUGAUCCAACUGGCCUAUUUGAGAACCACGUGACUGGCUGCUUUAAAAUCCAGGGCCUCCAGAAACUCUGUAACUUGCAGUUGCCUUUCAGCUGCCUCCUCUCCGCGCCCCUUCUGUUCUAGAGAAAGGGCUCCCCUUUCAUUGCACACACUCUCUCUCUCUCCCCCCCACCCCCGCCCCCAGCAUACACACUGUGGAGAUGCACAAAACACAGGCCUACACAACCCAAAGUUCCAAGGACCAGUUGCUGGGUCAGAGAGAGCCCCCAAGUGCUUCCACAGCCCAAAAGUCUGACAAAACUGCUUACUGACCCAGAAAUGCCACUCACAUCCCACGGGGGUGGAGGUGGAGGUGUCUUAGCAGUUUUUUAUUAAAAACUCACUCUGGGAAAUACCACCUACCACCACCAUCUAGAGGUCACGUCUCCCUGAGCUUAUUUCAGGAAAUCUCUCCAAGGUGACAGGAGAGCCAGCUGUCGCUGGAAGGGAACCAAAGGGUGAAAAAGGCUUGCCUUAAAGAGGCUGGUCUUGGGGGACAGGCAAGAUCAAGGGAGCAGGGCUGGGGUAGGUGAGGCAAGCAAAGUGCCCACGGCCUAAAUUUAAGGGGGCACUCACCCUCGGAGUGGUGCAAGUGCAGGACUGGCACCUGAGAGCCAGGGCCUUCCUAAAUUGGGGCUCUAGAUGCCUCAUCCCAGUUGGCCCUGAUGUGGGAGCAGUGGGGUACAAAUAACCAAAGCUAGCUAAGCAGGCCUGUGGCCUAGGGCUUCCAGAUCCAGAGGGGAAACUCAAGGCCCCCACUCUCCAGCUCCAUAAUGUGACAGCCACCAUUACUGAGUGUUUCAUUGGUGGCAAACGCAUCACACUCAUUACCUCACUUCAGUGCAAACACUUUGUGAGGUCGGCGCUGUUACAAUCUCUGUUUCGCAGAGAGGGAAACUAGGGCUUGGGGAGGCCAAGGGACCUACCCGACUUUGCACAGCUAGUAGGUAGCAGGGCUAAAAUUAACCCGAGUCCGGAGCACUAGCACCAUGACGCUGAAGUCAUCCAGGUCUCAAUAACUUUGGCUGCAGAGCUGAUGCCGGACCGCUCCUGACCUCCAGGCCCUCUGCCAACGCUCAGGGAAGACGGAGAUGAAGAGACUCUUGAUCUGCUGGGGAGAUGGACACACAUUUACAACUAUGAGAGAGAGACACCGAAGGGGACCGGUGCUGUCGGCCAGGCUGGCUGAGCCAAAGGAGCCCAGACGGGAGAAGAGUGAGUCUGAAUUCACCAUAAUUGCCAUGUGACCCUGAGUGAGAGGUACAACUGUAUGGCCCAUGCCAGACACACAAGCCCCCAGUGCCCGAGGAGCUCUGUGAUGGUCCAGGCCAGUGUUCCCAGCCUGCAGGCCCCCUCGCUCAAGGAAGGCAUCUGGAAACCACGUGGCACACAGUGCUGUCUGUAAAGAGGACAGACAAUGUGUCACACACAGUAUGAAGGCUUUCCAAACGGACUUUGAUGCUGCCGUGACACCUGCAUUUUAAAGCUUUGCAUCAGUGGAUUCUGAAAGCAUAAUCGCUAUUAUAUAGAGGCACUGAGAGGUAUUUUGAAUCCCAAUUCUUAAACUAUUGCUUUAGUCCACAGUAUGCCUUCUCUACACUUUUGGAUAUUAAGGUCCAGAGGAGAGAUGCACCAAAAGUCCCAGAACAGGUCAGUGCAAAGCCAGAAAUGAAGCCUAGGACCCUGACUGGUCCCCCUGCCCCCACCCCCAGCUCCUCUGCACUUAUUCAAGUGUUUAUUAAGCACCUGCCUUGUGGUGGGCUCUAUGCCAGGCACCAGGAGACAAUGAUGACAACCCAGUGCUCUCCUCGCAGGGGCUGACGUCUGGGAGGUGAGUAGGCAUGAGGCAAGGAGAGGACACAGUGAACAGAGAUUUGGUCAGACUCCCUAAAGAAGCCAAUGAAGGACUGGAAUCAGGAAAUGAUGUGAUUGGGUGCCUGGGUUCAGUGGCUGCCUUUGGCUAAGGUCAUUAUCCUGGAGUCCCAGGAUUGAGCCCCACAUCAAGCCCCCCAUCUACCCCUGCAUUGGGCUCCCUGCUCAAUGGGGAGCCUGUUUCUCCCUCUGCCUCUUGUCCUGUUUAUGCCUCCUCUGUCUCUCUCUCUUCAAAUAAAUGAAUAAAAUAUUUUAAAAAAGAAAAAAGGAAGUGAUGUGAUACGAUCCCUGUUGUAUAACAACCACUGCAUUUGCAUGUAGAUGAUGGACUGGAAGUAUUUCAUCAUUUAGGAUGCUUUUGGCCUCAAGUAACAGAAAACAUCAACUCAAAGUGAUUUAAGCUGGAAGGAAAUAUAUUUUCUUCCUAACAAGAAGGUCAGAAGGAGGAUGCAGUUAGCACUCUGGCUCCCCUUUUCUGUGAUUCUCUGGGCUCUGCUGUCCCUCAUGGGUAGGCUUCAUCUUCAGGCUGGCGACAAAAUAAUCACAACACCCAGAACACUGAGUUGCAGGCAUCCAGAAGAAGAGAGGUUGUCUGUCUCUUUUUUUGCACAGCCCCUUGCUCCCACCCCGUGUCUCCUCAGCUCUCAUUGGCCAGAAGUGGAUCACUUCCCAUCCCUAAACAAUCUGUGGCAGGGAGGAAUAAAUUACAGGUUUGACCAAGACUGAUCAGAACUUACCUACUCCCAGAACUGGGGAUGGCUCACUUGCCCAUGAAACGAGUUGCUACAUGAAAGAGUAGAUACUGGGGGAAAAAAACGGGUUCCCCAGGGAAGGAGCAAGAGAAGUCCUCAACAAGUUCUGCUGCCGGGAGAGAAGAGAGAAGCGUGGAAGCCCAGACUGCAGAUGCUGAACAGAGGAGCUCCUACAGGGCACUCACCCCUCUGCCUGGUGUAAAACGCACACAUGUGUCUGCCUCCCCACUUGGCUCUCAGCUCCUGGAGGGCAAGGCCUGGGACCCGUGCUCUUGUGGAUCUGGGCACAGGAGUCCCCAAAGAGGAGGGGGAGGAGGAUGAGUGUAUUUCUACAGUAGGAAGCAUGGGCUCCCAUCUGAGAAGUGUCCCAAGCAGUGAGCAGGGAAUGACACCCAGUGGAAGGUCAUCUAGCUGGGUGACCUGGGGCAGUCAUCUGGACCCCCUUGAGCCUCAGUUUCUCCUUUAGAGAAUUCUCCCAGAGGAUGUUCUUAUUCUUCAGCAACAUCCACCUCCCCACAAAAUAUUCAGUUGGUUGAGCCUGGGGGACGGUGGUGAAUGGGGAGGAGGAAGAUGAGGGACCAGAGGGAGCCAUGGGCAGAUGGAAAGACAAGUGAGCUCCGAUCAGCCUGUGGCAUUGGGUGCAUCUCACCCCAGCUCUGCUUUCCAUGACGUGUUGGCAGUUUGAAAUUGGCCACAACAGAAGGUUUUACACCACAGAAAUGGGCAAAUGCCACAAAUCAGAACCUAACCAUCCCCCCACCCCAACCACCACCCAGAGUCAGCUGUUAAACAUUCACGAGCCCACCAUAUGGCAAGUCUCCAGUGAUUGAAAUAAUAAAGCUCAGACAAGACUGACAUGUUCUUUUGUGGCUGUUGGGAGACCUCAGGGAAGGAGGGCUUCUAGGGAAAGGAGGAGCAGGCAUUUACCUGUGCUUUCUCUGUAGCCACUUAGCUCCCACUCACAGAGCCCCGUGUGUGUGUGUGUGUGUGUGUGUGUGUGUGUGUGUGCCCGGCCUGAGGACAGAGCCUUACAUAACGUCUCUAACACAGCAGUUCCAUGCAUCACGCCUGACCUUCCAUGCUUUCUCCUGAGCUGUAAUACUAUAGUUCAUACUAUUCAGUUCAGUGAUUCCCCUGCCAGGAAUUCAUCCAGAGGGAUGUGCUCCAUGAUGCAUGUUCAAGGAUGGUCAUCACUGUGUUAUUUAUAAUAGGGGGAAAAUUGAACCUGAUACCCUACAGUAAGCUUGGGUCCUUGAAACAUUAGGCAGACACUGAAAGAAAAUU